UACGUAGGUGGCAAGCGUUGUCCGGAUUUACUGGGCGUAAAGAGCGCGCAGGCGGUCGUAUAAGUCGAAUGUGAAAGCCCCCGGCUCAACUGGGGAGGGUCACGCGAUACUGAUCGACUCGAAGGCAGGAGAGGGUAGUGGAAUUCCCGGUGUAGUGGUGAAAUGCGUAGAGAUGUGGAGGAACACCGAUGGCGAAGGCAGCCUUCUGGGCCAACACUGACGCUCAUGCACGAAAGCGUGGGGAGCAAACAGG
rnacentral:rRNA from 1 species